rnacentral:rRNA from 1 species
AAUAGCGGAGGAAAAGAAACCAACAGGGAUUCCCCUAGUAACGGCGAGUGAAGCGGGAACAGCUCAAAUUUGAAAUCUGGCCCUUGGGUCCGAGUUGUAAUUUGCAGAGGAUGCUUUUGGUGCGGUGCCUUCCGAGUUCCCUGGAACGGGACGCCUUAGAGGGUGAGAGCCCCGUACGGUUGGACACCAAGCCUAUGUAAAGCUCCUUCGACGAGUCGAGUAGUUUGGGAAUGCUGCUCAAAAUGGGAGGUAUAUUUCUUCUAAAGCUAAAUAUUGGCCAGAGACCGAUAGCGCACAAGUAGAGUGAUCGAAAGAUGAAAAGCACUUUGAAAAGAGGGUUAAAUAGCACGUGAAAUUGUUGAAAGGGAAGGAUUUAUGACCAGACUUUUUCUAGGGGGAUCAUCCGGUGUUCUCACCGGUGCACUUCCCCUAGUUGAGGCCAGCAUCGGUUUCUGUCGGGGGAUAAAAGCUUUAGGAAUGUGGCUCCCUCCGGGGAGUGUUAUAGCCUGUUGCAUAAUACCCUGACGGGGACCGAGGUUCGCGCAUUGCAAGGAUGCUGGCGUAAUGGUUAUUAAUCACCCGUCUUGAAACACGGACCAAGGAGUCGAACAUUUGUGCGAGUGUUUGGGUGUUAAACCCUCACGCGUAAUGAAAGUGAACGGAGGUGAGAGCCUUUCGGGGUGCAUCAUCGACCGAUCCUGAUGUCUUCGGAUGGAUUUGAGUAAGAGCAUUAAUGUUCGGACCCGAAAGAUGGUGAACUAUGCGUGGAUAGGGUGAAGCCAGAGGAAACUCUGGUGGAGGCUCGCAGCGGUUCUGACGUGCAAAUCGAUCGUCAAAUCUGCGCAUGGGGGCGAAAGACUAAUCGAACCUCUAGUACUGU